ACAUCUUGGUACUUUCAGUUGUUCUAUAAUAAAUAGGUUAUAAACAGCAAAAUAAAAACAGGGUUUUAGGAGACCUGUUUUGGGCUCCCCAGUCCAUCUCUUUAUUAUCUGCCCCUUCACCCCACCUACCCCAGGACCCUAGCAACACUUUCUGUUCUAGAAAGGCCUCCUCUGCCCCAGAUUCUGGGCCUCUGCAUGCAGUGUGCCUCUGGCUGCAGCACCCCGCUUUCUCCUCCUCAGCCAGCUCACUCAUUCUCUCUGUCAUUACAGAGUGGCCACCAUGGACUGGGCACUGUUCUAGGUGCUAGGAACACCUUUACCUGGCUUACAUCCCAGUGCAGGAGACAAGAAAUAAAUGACCUAAUACAGGUCAGUGCCAUGAAGAGACAUAUACCAGGCUCAGGCGAUAAAGCGUAAGAUGGGUGCUGCUUGAAUGGGGUGUGAGGGCCGUCAGAGAAGGUUCAUCUGACAAGGUGACAAUGCAAACAGAUAUCUCAGCUAAGUGAGAGAGUAGCCACCUGGGUAUCCAGGGAAGAGUGUUCCAGGCUGAAAGGGUGGUCAGUGCAAAGGUCCUGAGGCAGGGAGCACAUUGGGCAUGUUCCCUCAACAGCAAGGAGGCUGAUACAGCCAGACUGGGAGGUGAGGUCAGAGGCCCCAGGUAGUUCUUUAUUUAUUUUAUUUUUUUAUUUUUUUGUCUUUUUGCCUUUUCUAGGGCCGCUCCCGCAGCAUAUGGAGGACAAAAAAAAAGAAAAAAAAAAAAAAGGUACAGACACGUUUCCAUAUACCUGCCCCCACACAUGCGGUCUCCCCCAUUGUCCACAUCCCGCCAGGGUGGGGCAUUUGUUGACAUUAUCACCCAAAGCCCACAGUUUACAUUAAGCCUCCCUCUGGGUGUUGCUCCCUCUGGGUGUUGUACGGGGCAAACGGAAAAUGACACGCAUCCACCACCAGAGUAUCAGAGUGUCACUGCCCUAUAAAUCCUCUUGUUCAGCCAUCCAUCCCUCACCAAGCCCCGGCACCCCAGGCAACCACUGUUCUUUUUCUUGUCUCUAUAGUUUUGCCUUUUCCAGAAUGUCAUGGAAGGAGAAUUAUACAGUAUCCAGCCUCUCCAGAUGGGCUUCUUUCAGUCCGUACAUAUGCAUUUAAGUUUUCCCCGUGUCUUUUCAUGGCUUCAUAGCUCAUUUCUUUCCAGGCCUGAAAAAUAUGCCAGUGUCCGGAUGAACCACAGGGUACCUGGUUUUUCAACCCCUGGGGUGCGGAUCUGCCAAGCCAGGGGCUCUGCUGCCUUUGGACAAAAUUUUCUCUGAACCUCCAGUGUUUUUCAUCUGUAAAAUGGGAAUAAAAACACUGAUGACCUCGUGGGAAGGAGGAGUCUGUGUGGAAACGUACGGAAGGCAUGGAUUACAGUUCGCAGCAGGGGGCAAGAGACAGAUGUUAGCUGCAAUUAUCAUCACUAGCACUGUG
rnacentral:lncRNA from 1 species